rnacentral:lncRNA from 1 species
CUUUAAUUUGACAUAAUCAUACCACGUGGACUCCCCAGUUCUGUUUCUGUUUGCUUUCCCUCACCCCGCACUUCUUUUUCUUUCUUUUUAGCUCAGAAGCUGCCACAAUUGAGAGGUGCACUUUGGGCAGGAGUAGUACAUUGUGUCUGUGUUGUACACGGUUCACAGGACAGGACACUCAGCUCAGUCGUCUAUGCUUUCCCUUUGGGCUGUUCUAAGUGGACUCCUUUUACUUGUGAGUAAUCCAGAGCGAGGCACUGUAACUGAAGCGGGGAGCAGCAACUAGUGAGCAGAUGGGCGGGGAAGGCUGUGAAAUAAGACACAGCUCUCUGGAUGCUUUGGAACUUAAAACACAGCUUCUUCUUUAUUGAUUCGCAUGGCAUUAGUGAUCAUCAUUCCUAAAGCACUGUGCAGUGUCUGCCUCGAAGAGAGCAUAGUUACAGGGUGUGUGUUUUCAGUUGCCUAAGAGCAUAUGCACCAAACACUACAAACAGCUCAAACCCUUGAGUACGUCAGAAACCUGCACAGCAUAUUUAAUAUACAAGAAAAAAGAACCCUUAGAAGUCUGCAUGUAACUAUAGUCAUUCUGUUUUGUGUUUCAUAUACUUAGUAUUAUAUUUUAAAACAUUUAUUACUAUUGUUCAUUUAUUUAAAAAAAUUUUUUUUUUUUUAGUUUUUCUGCGUAAUUGUUAUUACACUUCAUUAGUACUUAAUUGCAUUUUCAGGUUUAUACCUACCAAAGGACACAAAUUGAGUGGUCAACUGCAAAAUUGGUCUAAGCAGGAAGCAGUGUCCUGGCUGUCAGGACCCAAAUACCAAUAAAUGUAACUUGGUAUGCGCGAAACCUGUGAAAUGAGCGCUGGGUAGCAUAAAAAUGGCAGCAUGGCUCCAGGAUGACCGUUUCUUCCAAAAGAAGGCUCCCUGGUGCGGCUUGCUUUAGACACAGUGUAGAAAAGUCAAGUACUGGGCAUGAAGGUAUACUCAUUUAGGGUAAUCUUUGGAAAUGUUUCCUGUUAAUACACAUUUUAUUUAUUUUGAAUUUGUUCUGAGUAAACUGUUAUAAACUUUAAGAUUGAAAAGCUUUCCGUGGGUCAGGUAUGGAGGCCCAGGAAUUUGAUUCCAGCAUUUGGGAGGCUGAGGCAGGCAGAGCUCUGAGUGUGUGAGGUCUACAUAGUGCCAGGACAGCCAAUGCUAGGUAGAGAGACCCUAUCUUUAAAAAAACAACAAAGAAAAGCUUUUACUGAACUUAAAAAAUUAUGUUUUUUACUUGCAUUUUAAAUGCUUUUGAGAAUAAAAUGUAGAUUUAAAGGACUUAAAAACUUUAAAAAUAAUCAGAAAUUUAAAAGGGACACACGUACUGGUUGGUUAGGCUUGCUCUCAGUCCAUGCAAACUGACUGUAUGUAAAUACCAUGUUUCAGACCUCUGUCGGGGGACAAGCAGCAAAUCUCAGGUGCCCCAUGAUAGCUGACACAACAGCUGGGCAUCCGCUCCUGCAGUAGUACGUGCUUUAUUAUGUGUGGAGACUGUAACCUCAGCAGUACCAGCUUCGCACAAACCACAGGGGACAGUGAGCAAUGCUGGACGACCACUGAACCAGCCUAGAAUAUAAAACUGAAUGACUUAUUCAGAACAGUGUAACUUCUGGCACAUGCAGAUGCUUGUCUUCAUUGGCGUGUUCAUCUGUCACGUAGCUGUUUCUGAAGUUGUUCAGCAGCUGGCUGUUGAGAAUUCCUUGCAAGGCUAGUUCCUGAGGACAGUUGAAAUAGUCUAGUCUAGAAUGUCAAGGACUUGGGUGCAUGUUGUGUUUCCUCAUGAGUCUACAUGGCAUCCUUUCAGUUUGAUUUCCUUCCUGAUUUUCUACCUUGUCAUUUCUUCUUGCCCUUUCCCACACCUAUCCCCUUCCCUCAGCUCUCCAGCACAUCUACUCAGUGGUGCUGUGCUGUGUGUCAGAAGAUAGAGUGGGUGGCUUGUAUAUGUUGAUGACAGUGUUUGUAUUAGGAGCUUGAUCCCAGGAACAGGGGUGGAUGGAUGGAUGGCUACAGUUGUGAGUGGAUGACGUCACUUAGGAAACUGCGAGCAGCACUUGGGAUAUGAAAUGUGUGCACUGGUGAACACCUGAUUCUACUUUUCUCCCUGUGGACAGUUUACCAGUGCCACGUUGGAGAGGCACGGUGAGGACAGGAAGGAAGUCUUCACAUAAAAAUAUUUUUGCUUCUACAUGAUCUAAAGACUGCAUUCUGCAUCUUUUGUAACAUGGUCCUUUGUCAUGACAGACACUGAAAUAGCAUGUGAAACAUUGCCUAGAUGCCAGUAUAUUCAGUCGGGGAAAACUGUUGUCCCCUACCCCCACCCCACUGUAUAAUUGUUCCUUAAAAGGUAAAUUGCUAAUUUUAUACUGUGUGAUUCUAUUCUUCAUAAAUAGGUUUCACUAUUCUAUAUUAAACUUUGUCAGAAAAUGAUCUACUAUUCAAGUAAGUUUGUUUUACUUUUUUCUGAAAAGGAUAUUUUACAUGCCUUAUUUAUUAUUGUUAUCAAAACAAAUAAGGGGUCAAUACAGAUGAAAAUUUCACUUUCCACAGCUAUCACCUUGCCUAAUUAAUCUUUAGUAUGGGGUGAUUUUGAUACUAUCUUUGGAGUUUUGCACUGGAUAUUUAAAAAUAUAUAUUGGCACAAUAUAUUGAAAAAUUAAAUAGUAUUUGGUUUAAUUUUUAAUAUUUGAAACAUUUUUUAAUUAGUGUUUAAAUCAGACUAACAAUUCUUUGUAUUUUUAAUUACUUUUUUAAAAGGGACAUCUGAAAAGUGGUAUUUAUUCAUUCCAAACUGGUGUUUGUGUGAAUUUACAUAUAUUUUCAUGAAAUAUGAGUAGGAUUUCUUUGAGGUAAAAUCUGGAUCCAUUUAUUAUCAGGUUAAAGACGCUUCAUCCAGUGUAAUAAUAACCACAGUGUGUAAGUUUAAAUGGUGAACUUCUUCAUGCUUUAAGAAGCUUUAAGAGAACAGUUCAGGGGAUACUAAGAUGAUUGCUCUGUCAGUUCCUUGUCUAUAUGCAGUAAAACUUUAUGAUCCGUUACAGCAGUGUAACAGUUCACAACAGUCUUGGGCAUAAAAAGUUUUGAUGCUCUUUUAAUCUGUCUGUUCUAGCAUAAUGACUGCGUUCAAACUCUUAAGAUGUAUCUAAAUAUUUGCUUUUCUCCCUUUUCCUUCCAAGUAGACAGACCUGUGCUCUCACAUACAAUGUAUUUAAGUUUUUAGAAGUGAUGCUGUAGUAAGUCAGUCGUGUGAUUUAAUCAGGCCACUCUUGAUUCUUUGAUUCACAGUUUCCUUUUUCCACAGACAAUUAUGAGAAACAAUUACCAGUUAACUGAUAAUAAGCACGUUGUCCUCUGCUGUAAAAAGUCUGAAUAGAUACUGUGUAUGUUUCCAUGUCCAUGAACUUAAGCUACUCGUGUGCAGUUAUGUGUAUGGAAUGGAGUAGUGUUCAUGAUUUGUAUCUACAUCAUCAUAUGGAUGUAUAUUUAUUAAUAAAGUCAUCACUUUAAAACCA